rnacentral:lncRNA from 1 species
AUAUACUCUUGUACUUUCAUGCCAUGAAGGGCUAUUUGGUUAGACUCUUUGAUGUUUUUGAUCUCCUAUUUACAACAAUAAUAGUAAUUAUUAUCCGUUAACAUGCAUAUUUUCAGUUUAUCUGGUUUAUCAUUGGAACAGAGUACGAUUAUUGGUUUAUCACCUUCUUUAAUCAACAACAGCUAAUUUGUUUUAUAUUUACUUACAAAAAAAAAAAGUUUAGCAAAUCAUACAUGUGAAGAAGGUCACUGGCACAAAUUGAAUACUGCCAGUUCUGCAUCAGUUAUUUUCUCCAUUAACAAAAUCAUUAUUUUCCUCGUUCUCUAUUUUUCUCAUGUCCUUGUAAUUUGAAUUGGGUUUUACGUAGCAUAUUGAUGUCAAAUGCUGUAUCUGAUGCUCAAAUUCAAGUAUCAAUAUUUUCUUCUUGUCCAUACUCUGAUUGACCAAGAACUGAGUGUGUUCCCUAGUUACAAGUCUUAGAAACUCCUUCGGUUUAGUUACAAGUCUUCUUUUUUCAACAAAUGAGCACUACUUGGAAUGUGUAUAUCGUCAUCCUUGAAAGUCAGUUCUGAACUUCUGUUGAGAUUUGUGAUUUCAUUUUUUUGACAUUACAUGACGAUAAUGCUCCUCCAUUCUUUCUGGCAGGAAUUUCUUGAAGUCUUAUUAUUUCCCACAAGGAGAGACUGCUUAAAGAUUUUUGUGGAAAAGUUUUGUUUGCUGAGUUUGUAAUUGCUGUAGAAGUAUUCCCGUGUAUCCUUGCAUAGUUUUCAGAUGUAUCCUAUAUUUAUGCCUCAGAAGGAAAUUAUGUGCCAUAGAUAAAGUUGAACAGGGGGUGGAUGUGCAAUCCCGGGGCUGGCAACAUACUUGAAUAAAACCAAAUAAUUGAUGUGGAAAUCUUUGGGCAAAGUUAGCUUUAUGUUCUGGUGAAGGACUCAUAAUUGAUCUCUUUUCAGACAGUUCUGGUAGGCUCUUCCACCAGUGAGCCAAAUGUCACAGACCGGAUAACUCCCUAGCUAUCUUCCGUGCGGCCUUAGUCACAAUUCGCCCCUGCGAUGUGCUAAGUCAGCCUUUCCCCGAAAUAUUGCCACAAAGAGAAAGCUUUGUACAAGUGUUGGAUUUCUCUAUGUCUUAUAUGUUCUUAAAUUCCAAAUGCCAUCCCAUAUUUAUAGGGGAGGCUUACAAGCUCUAGAGGUUCUAGAGAGUUCUACAGCCUUCUAGCUAUGUACAUGUCCUAGAAUUCUAUGGAGAGUUCUAGAGAGUUCUACUACAUUCUAGGUAGAUACAAGAGUGUUCUAGAGUUCUAGAGAGCUCUAGAGAUCUCUACACCUAGUAGAAUAUACAAGAUAACUCUAGAGAGGUCUAGAGUCUUCCAUUAGAAGAAUCUAGACUUGGCUAGAGAAAUGCUGCCAUUCGCGCGCCAAAUCAUUGCCAAUGUGUCGCCCAGUCAUCGCCCGCAUGGCAUAAUCUCCUAGAAAAUGUAGGGGCGUGACACAAAGCUCUGUAAACUCUUAAUUUUGUCAGAACACUUCCCCUUCGUGGUGUAGGGUCUUAAUAUGCUGAAAAAUAUUUAUUCGCACCUUAGUGUUGUACAAACUAUAUGGUUAAUCAUUGUUAAGUGAAAUAAUAAGGUAAAACUGCA